AGACCCGAAACCCGGUGAUCUAGCCAUGGGCAGGUUGAAGGUUGGGUAACACUAACUGGAGGACCGAACCGACUAAUGUUGAAAAAUUAGCGGAUGACCUGUGGCUGGGGGUGAAAGGCCAAUCAAACCGGGAGAUAGCUGGUUCUCCCCGAAAGCUAUUUAGGUAGCGCCUCGUGAAUUCAUCUCCGGGGGUAGAGCACUGUUUCGGCCAGGGGGCCAUCCCGGCUUACCAAUCCGAUGCAAACUGCGAAUACCGGAGAAUGUUAUCACGGGAGACACACGGCGGGUGCUAACGUCCGUCGUGAAGAGGGAAACAACCCAGACCGCCAGCUAAGGUCCCAAAGUCAUGGUUAAGUGGGAAACGAUGUGGGAAGGCCCAGACAGCCAGGAUGUUGGCUUAGAAGCAGCCAUCAUUUAAAGAAAGCGUAAUAGCUCACUGGUCGAGUCGGCCUGCGCGGAAGAUGUAACGGGGCUAAACCAUGCACCGAAGCUGCGGCAGCGACACUGAUGUGUUGUUGGGUAGGGGAGCGUUCUGUAAGCCGUUGAAGGUGGCCUGUGAGGGUUGCUGGAGGUAUCAGAAGUGCGAAUGCUGACAUAAGUAACGAUAAAGCGGGUGAAAAGCCCGCUCGCCGGAAGACCAAGGGUUCCUGUCCAACGUUAAUCGGGGCAGGGUGAGUCGACCCCUAAGGCGAGGCCGAAAGGCGUAGUCGAUGGGAAACGGGUUAAUAUUCCCGUACUUGGUGUUACUGCGAAGGGGGGACGGAGAAGGCUAUGUUGGCCGGGCGACGGUUGUCCCGGUUUAAGCGUGUAGGUGUGUGUUCCAGGUAAAUCCGGUUCACUUUAACACUGAGGCGUGACGACGAGGCACCACGGUGCUGAAGCAACAAAUGCCCUGCUUCCAGGAAAAGCCUCUAAGCCUCAGGUAACAUCAAAUCGUACCCCAAACCGACACAGGUGGUCAGGUAGAGAAUACCAAGGCGCUUGAGAGAACUCGGGUGAAGGAACUAGGCAAAAUGGUGCCGUAACUUCGGGAGAAGGCACGCUGACACGUAGGUGAAGUGGUUUACCCAUGGAGCUGAAGUCAGUCGAAGAUACCAGCUGGCUGCAACUGUUUAUUAAAAACACAGCACUGUGCAAACACGAAAGUGGACGUAUACGGUGUGACGCCUGCCCGGUGCCGGAAGGUUAAUUGAUGGGGUCAGCGCAAGCGAAGCUCCUGAUCGAAGCCCCGGUAAACGGCGGCCGUAACUAUAACGGUCCUAAGGUAGCGAAAUUCCUUGUCGGGUAAGUUCCGACCUGCACGAAUGGCGUAAUGAUGGCCAGGCUGUCUCCACCCGGGACUCAGUGAAAUUGAACUCGCUGUGAAGAUGCAGUGUACCCGCGGCAAGACGGAAAGACCCCGUGAACCUUUACUAUAGCUUGACACUGAACACUGGUCCUUGAUGUGCAGGAUAGGUGGGAGGCUUUGAAGUGUGGACGCCAGUCUGCAUGGAGCCAUCCUUGAAAUACCACCCUUUAAUGGCUGGUGUUCUAACGUGGGCCCCUGACCGGGGUUGCGGACAGUGUCUGGUGGGUAGUUUGACUGGGGCGGUCUCCUCCUAAAGAGUAACGGAGGAGCACGAAGGUUGGCUAAUCCUGGUCGGACAUCAGGAGGUUAGUGCAAUGGCAUAAGCCAGCUUGACUGCGAGCGUGACGGCGCGAGCAGGUGCGAAAGCAGGUCAUAGUGAUCCGGUGGUUCUGAAUGGAAGGGCCAUCGCUCAACGGAUAAAAGGUACUCCGGGGAUAACAGGCUGAUACCGCCCAAGAGUUCAUAUCGACGGCGGUGUUUGGCACCUCGAUGUCGGCUCAUCACAUCCUGGGGCUGAAGUAGGUCCCAAGGGUAUGGCUGUUCGCCAUUUAAAGUGGUACGCGAGCUGGGUUUAGAACGUCGUGAGACAGUUCGGUCCCUAUCUGCCGUGGGCGCUGGAAGAUUGAGGGGGGCUGCUCCUAGUACGAGAGGACCGGAGUGGACGCAUCACUGGUGUUCGGGUUGUCAUGCCAAUGGCACUGCCCGGUAGCUACAUGCGGAAGAGAUAAGUGCUGAAAGCAUCUAAGCACGAAACUUGCCCCGAGAUGAAUCUUCCCUGAGCCUUUAAGGCUCCUGAAGGAACGUUGAAGACGACGACGUUGAUAGGCCGGGUGUGUAAGCGCAGCGAUGCGUUGAGCUAACCGGUACUAAUGAACCGUGAGGCUUAACCUU
rnacentral:rRNA from 1 species